CAGUCGCCACGGUAAUACAGAGGGUGCGAGCGUUGUCCGGAACUAUUGGGCGUAAAGGGCUCGCAGGCGGUUUCUUAGGUCUGAUGUGAAAGCCCCCGGCUCAACCGGGGAGGGUCAUUGGAAACUGGGAAACUUGAGUGCAGAAGAGGAGAGUGGAAUUCCACGUGUAGCGGUGAAAUGCGUAGAGAUGUGGAGGAACACCAGUGGCGAAGGCGACUCUCUGGUCUGUAACUGACGCUGAGGAGCGAAAGCGUGGGGAGCGAACGGGAUUAGAUACCCCAGUAGUCCCUGUCUCUUAUAA
rnacentral:rRNA from 1 species